UGGCUACAGAACGAACGCUGGCGGCAGGCCUAACACAUGCAAGUCGAGCGAGGACUUCGGUCCUAGCGGCGGACGGGUGAGUAACGCGUGGGAACGUGCCCUUUGGUACGGAAUAGGCCCCCGGGAAACUGGGAGUAAUACCGUAUGGUGUCUUCGGACUAAAGAUUUAUCGCCAAAGGAUCGGCCCGCGUUGGAUUAGGUAGUUGGUGGGGUAAUGGCCUACCAAGCCGACGAUCCAUAGCUGGUUUGAGAGGAUGAUCAGCCACACUGGGACUGAGACACGGCCCAGACUCCUACGGGAGGCAGCAGUGGGGAAUCUUAGACAAUGGGGGCAACCCUGAUCUAGCCAUGCCGCGUGAGUGAUGAAGGCCCUAGGGUUGUAAAGCUCUUUCAGCUGGGAAGAUAAUGACGGUACCAGCAGAAGAAGCCCCGGCUAACUCCGUG
rnacentral:rRNA from 1 species